UCCCGCCUCCCCUACCGGUUCGCGGCAAGUCCCCCAGGCUCCCGCGCCGCCUGCGAGAGACGCACAGGGCUCCCGCGUCCGGUUGGGAGAAGGACCGGAGCGCUGGGGACAUCGCGACAGGGGCGUGGCGUAUGUAGGGUGAGUGCCCUUUUUAAAUGAUCCCUCGUGUUUCUAAUUCUUCUGCAACCAGUUUUAAUCUGCUGUUUGAACUCUCAACAAAGGAUAUUAUUUUAUAUGUGACCAAAGGUUAUUCUUCAGGGAAAUCCACUGACAAGGGAACCACCCGUCUAAAAGAUCACCGCCCGGAGCUGACUUGAAGCAGGGUGGAAUAAAUGAUGCAGGUGGCACAAAGGGACAGGAACAACAAAGAAAGGAGAAGGACGGUCCCGUGAAAGAGAAAUUGUCUCUAAUUCUUGCCUAGCCUCUUCCAUUUUCCUCAGUCUUUUCUUCUUACUAUCCAAAUCACCCUUAACUUUUCUCUUGGAAUGAUAUGCAUCCCAUAAAUACCUAUAUUUCAUUUGCUUGGCGUGAGGCCAUAAACCAGAGAAGCCAUAAAUUCCUAGAUAAGGCAACCCCCCUCCUCUGUAGGUGCAUCUUAAAGCAUAUUCCUAAGCACCAUAGCUGUCUACACUAGAACCAUACCGGAUACAGAUCAGCAACUUCAAAGAGACAUCCCAACCUGGCUCUGUGCCUUCCUUGUUUUUACCCCCCAUAUAACCCCGUCACCAGCCGGGCAGCGCGGUGCGCUACUUUGAAUGUUCUGCUGCGGUACAGGACCAGCUUCCUGUCUGUAAGUUCCUCGAUAAACUAUUCCUGCUA